AAAAAAAUUUUAAACCCAAUCACACAAACAAAUGCACAUGAUACAUGCCUGUUCUAUGGCUGAUAAGGCUCAUAUGUCGGUUAUCCAGCCAACACGACAAGUCCGAAAACCUUAGACUGUCCCCCGUCGCGCAUCCCCGUGAUUCUAUGCAUAGAUUUCACAUUC